GCGGGGAUGGCGGAACCGGCAGACGCAGCGGCCUUAAAAGCCGCGGGGCGGUAGCGCCCGUGAGGGUUCGAAUCCCUCUCCCCGCACCA
rnacentral:tRNA from 1 species